rnacentral:rRNA from 1 species
CAGGGGCUUGCGCCACAUUAGUUAGUUGGUAAGGUAAAGGCUUACCAAGACGAUGAUGUGUAGCUGGACUGAGAGGUCGAACAGCCACAUUGGGACUGAGACACGGCCCAAACUCCUACGGGAGGCAGCAGUAAGGAAUUUUUGGCAAUGGAGGAAACUCUGACCGAGCGACGCCGCGUGAGCAAUGAAGUACUUCGGUAUGUAAAGUUCUUUUAUUGAAAAAGAAAAAAUAGUGGAAAAACUAUCUUGACAUUAUUCAAUGAAUAAGCCCCGGCUAAUUAUGUGCCAGCAGCCGCGGUAAUACAUAAGGGGCGAGCGUUAUCCGGAAUUAUUGGGCGUAAAGGGUGCGUAGGCGGUUUGAUAAGUCUAUAGUUUAAAUGCAGUGCUUAACGCUGUAGCGCUAUAGAAACUGUCUGACUAGAGUUAGAUAGAGGCAAGCGGAAUUCCAUGUGUAGCGGUAAAAUGCGUAAAUAUAUGGAGGAACACCAGAGGCGUAGGCGGCUUGCUGGGUCUUAACUGACGCUGAGGCACGAAAGCGUGGGGAGCAAACAGGAUUAGAUACCCUGGUAGUCCACGCCGUACACGAUGAGUACUAAGUGUCGGGUUUCGGCUCGGUACUGAAGUUAACACAUUAAGUACUCCGCCUGAGUAGUACGUACGCAAGUAUGAAACUUAAAGGAAUUGACGGGACCCCGCACAAACGGUGGAUCAUGUUGUUUAAUUCGAAGAUACACGAAAAACCUUACCAGGUCUUGACAUAAUUUUGCGACAUUAUAGAAAUAUAAUGAAGGUUAUCAGAAUUACAGGUGGUGCAUGGUUGUCGUCAGCUCGUGUCGUGAGAUGUUAGGUUAAGUCCUAAAACGAGCGCAACUCUUGUCGUUAGUUGCGACCACGUAAUGGUGAGCACUUUAGCGAGACUGCCAAUGAAAAAUUGGAGGAAGGUGAGGAUUACGUCAAAUCAUCAUGCCCCUUAUGAUCUGGGCUACAAACGUGAUACAAUGGCUGUUACAAAGAGUAGCUACAACGUGAGUUUUUAGCCAAUCUCAAAAAAACAGUCUCAGUU